AGAACGAACGCUGGCGGCAGGCUUAACACAUGCAAGUCGAGCGCCCCGCAAGGGGAGCGGCAGACGGGUGAGUAACGCGUGGGAACGUACCCCCCGGUUCGGAAUAACUCAGGGAAACUUGAGCUAAUACCGGAUACGGCUGGAAGGCGAAAGAUUCAUCGCCGGGGGAUCGGCCCGCGUCCGAUUAGCUAGUUGGUGUGGUAACGGCGCACCAAGGCGACGAUCGGUAGCUGGUCUGAGAGGAUGAUCAGCCACAUUGGGACUGAGACACGGCCCAAACUCCUACGGGAGGCAGCAGUGGGGAAUAUUGGACAAUGGGCGCAAGCCUGAUCCAGCCAUGCCGCGUGAGUGAUGAAGGCCUUAGGGUUGUAAAGCUCUUUCACCCACGACGAUAAUGACGGUAGUGGGAGAAGAAGCCCCGGCUAACUUCGUGCCAGCAGCCGC
rnacentral:rRNA from 1 species